rnacentral:lncRNA from 1 species
GAUUAUAUUAUCAGUUAUUUAAAUGCAAACUUAUCAUUGUUACAAUAUGCAUAUGCACAUUCAUUGCUUUACAAUCUGUCGAUUCCUGUAUCCUGGCAAUGUACAAGGUCAUAAUUUCUCUGACGUUUUUAUAUUAAAUCCACUAGAUGUUGGGUGUAUAUAGAUAUAGGAAGAUCUGGUAAGAGUGAAAAUGAGACAACUCUCCAUCCAAGACACAAUUUAUAAAAGUCAUCAACACGUAGCAUUGGCUCACACCGAACAGCAAUCUAUAUAGGGCCUUAAAAAUACUAGUGUAAAACCAUAUCAACGGGAAAACCAUUAACGGUCUAGUCUAUACAAAAAACGUGAAACAAUUAUGGACCACACCACCAAACGACAACUACUGAACAUCAGAUUUCCGACUUAGGAUAGGUGCAAAC